rnacentral:rRNA from 1 species
GGGGGGAGGCCUAUAAUGCAGUCGAACGAGAUUCAGGAGCUUGCUUUUCAUGAAAGUGGCGCACGGGUGCGUAACACGUAUGCAACCUACCUUCAAUUGGGGGAUAGCCUUCCGAAAGGGAGAUUAAUACCGCAUAAGAUAUUAGAAUGGCAUCAUUCAGAUAUUAAAACUUUGGUGAUUGAAGAUGGGCAUGCGUUGCAUUAGCUAGUUGGUAAGGUAACGGCUUACCAAGGCUACGAUGCAUAGGGGAUCUGAGAGGAUGGUCCCCCACACUGGUACUGAGAUACGGACCAGACUCCUACGGGAGGCAGCAGUAAGGAAUAUUGGUCAAUGGAGGGAACUCUGAACCAGCCAUGCCGCGUGCAGGACGACGGCCCUAUGGGUUGUAAACUGCUUUUGUCAGGGAAUAAAUCAUUUUACGUGUAGAAUGUUGAAGGUACCUGAAGAAUAAGGAUCGGCUAACUCCGUGCCAGCAGCCGCGGUAAUACGGAGGAUCCAAGCGUUAUCCGGAUUUAUUGGGUUUAAAGGGUGCGUAGGCGGUAAAUUAAGUCAGAGGUGAAAGCCUGCAGCUCAACUGUAGAACUGCCUUUGAUACUGGUUUACUUGAGUACAGAUGAAGUGGGCGGAAUGUGACAAGUAGCGGUGAAAUGCAUAGAUAUGUCACAGAACACCGAUUGCGAAGGCAGCUCACUAAAGUGUAACUGACGCUGAGGCACGAAAGCGUGGGGAUCAAACAGGAUUAGAUACCCUGGUAGUCCACGCCCUAAACGAUGAUUACUCGCUGCCGGCGAUAUACAGUCGGCGGCUAAGCGAAAGCGUUAAGUAAUCCACCUGGGGAGUACGGUCGCAAGAUUGAAACUCAAAGGAAUUGACGGGGGCCCGCACAAGCGGAGGAGCAUGUGUUUAAUUCGAUGAUACGCGAGGAACCUUACCCGGGCUUGAAAGUUAGUGAUGAUUUAGAAAUAGAUCAGUGAGCAAUCACACGAAACUAGUGCUGCAUGGCUGUCGUCAGCUCGUGCCGUGAGGUGUUGGGUUAAGUCCCGCAACGAGCGCACCCCUAUGAUUAGUUGCCAGCAU